rnacentral:lncRNA from 1 species
AUAUGUUAGCUUACUCUCACCCUAUCCCAUAUUAGCUGUUUUCUUUUAUUUUUUUAUAACACAUAAGCUAUGUACUUGAAUAAUAUAUACGAUGUAUAAUUUAAGUAUAUUUGUUUCUUUUCUAAAUAAACAUUGUGAUAAGUUCUGUGUCAGAAUUUUAGCUCUCUGUCAGAACUACAAAUAUGCAUGUCAUAAAUAUAGAGUCUAGAGUCCUUUAUUAAGUGAAACUUGUUAUCCUAUCUAUAAUUCUAGAAUUUAACUAGAAUACUGGUAGUACUUUUAAAUUAUAACUUAGUCUAAACACCAUGUGCAGUGCUUUGGAGAGGUGUUAAGGCAGUAUCAGAUGGUUCCUUCUGUGCUUUUAGUACUGUAAUUUUUGUAAUGAAUAAAUGAGAGGGAGCAAAAAGUUGGUGAUUUAUUGAAAACAACUUAUGGAGGGGAACUUUCAACAGUCUUCAGUACUGUAAGAAAAAGGGACAUGGAACAGAGUGAAGUAUGCACUUCUUGGAAUGUGUAAAUAACAAGGAGAACCACAAUAAAAAAAGUAAAGAACAGUAAUUAAGGAAAACUAUAAACUACCUAGAAAGUGUUUUCCUGGGUAUGAAGAUCUUUGUUUCCUUGAUACUUACUGUCUAAGACAGUCUCUAUAAACUUUGAUCUCAAGAAUGUUUUUAGUUUGGUUCCUAGAUGUUACUUUUAGUACAGUAUAUAUAAAAAUAGAGCACAUUCAACCACAGCAUUUUUACUAACAUUGAAAUAGUUUAAUAUAACUGUAAAUAGAAUGCAUGAUGAUCAGCAGCCUUAAGCAAUCUGCAUGUUAACCAGUUGUGCCUGUGAUGACUUUUCUCGAAUCUGAUGGUACCAGUAGUAAUCAUCAAUAAAACUGAUGUGGGCUUGUACAUCUCUGGAUGUUUUCCUCUCUAAUGUCAGUUGUGUUCAUCCAUGAUCAGCUUAGAAAAAUCCUUUGGGUGUGAACAGUAUUCACAUUUAUAUUUGACUAAUUUGAAUUAAAAUAGACUUAAGCUGAUAUGUAUACUUAAAACCCAUAUUAAAAUAUUAUUUUGAAAGUCUUUGGGUCUAAAAAUGAGGGUAUAAGUUAAAGAUUAAAUAAUGGGUAAGAUUAUGACGUAAGUGGACCCUGCAGUAAUUCUGACACUGUUUUCACUGUCUGAGACAAGCCUACCUUCUGUCUAGCGUGAAUGAUAAGUGAAUUAUUUUUGCUAAAAAUAUUUGUAAGUAGUACAUGUGAGGGCAAAGAUAAAAUUAAAAUACCCACUGUAGAAACUCAGUAAUUAACAGAUAUCUGACUAUCAGCUAAACAGAUUUUAUCUUAAACCAGUGCUGUACUAAGUAGACUAGAUUCUGUGUAUAACUUCUAAAAUUGCUGCCCUAAAAUGCAUAAAAUGUGAAUAAAUAUUUAAUGUACUACCAACUCUAAUAUAAACAAAUAUCCCUCAAAAUAAUAAAACUAAAUUGGAAAGACUUGUAAGGUUUGUGUCAUUCAUUCAUUUGUUCUGCAUACAAUACAUGAAUAUUCAGUAUAAUGCUAAUAUACAUGUCAUUGAGUAUAUAUAUAUAUAUUGAGAUAUCGUUGAAAUAGUUAGGUUGUAAGAAAGUUGAGUUCACAUCAUUAUUAAAUUAGGCUAAACCACUUCUUUUAGGGGGUGGGAAAAUUUUGCUUUCACUUUUUUCCCCCUUUCAUUAUUUUGAUGUAAAAAUGUAUAUUAAGCUUGACUUCAUAAUACUUUUAUGAACAGAUAGUGAAUGUACAAAGUUAAAAUAUGUAUUUGCUCUCAUUAGUUUUCCCUAAAAUUGUAUGCAUCUAACAAUCAGAAUUUUUAAUGAUGUAACUUUGAAAAAUUCUUAACACUUUGUUAUAGAAUAGUAAUUAUUUCUCCAAAGUAUGCUUAUUUUACUCAGAGUAGUACACUAAGUAUAAAAGAACUUUGGUGAAGUUGACAAAAUAUCUUGAUAUAAAAUAGAGCUUAAUCAAAUUUUGUUUGUUUUAAAGAAAAGCAUCUCUUUAAAGAGAGAAAUAACAUUGACUGAGCAGUGCCACUGACCUGUUCAUUCCUAGCAGCGUUUUAGAAUCUUCACAUGAUCAUUUGCAUUUGUAUGCUUAGUACUUCUUGGCAUUUAUUUCAGAUCAGACUCCAACGCCAACAAGAUUCCUAAAAAACUGUGAAGAAGUGGGUUUGUUCAAUGAGUUGGCAAGUCCAUUUGAAAAUGAAUUCAAGAAGGCUUCCGAAGAUGACAUUAAAAAAAUGCCUCUAGAUUUGUCCCCUCUUGCAACACCCAUCAUAAGAAGCAAAAUUGAGGAGCCUUCUGUUGUAGAAACAACUCACCAGGACAGCCCUUUACCUCACCCCGAGUCGACUACCAGUGAUGAAAAGGAAGUACCAUUGGCACAAACUGCACAGCCCACAUCAGCUAUCGUUCGUCCAGCAUCAUUACAGGUUCCCAAUGUGCUGCUCACAAGUUCUGACUCAAGUGUAAUUAUUCAACAAGCAGUACCUUCACCAACCUCAAGUACUGUAAUCACCCAGGCACCAUCCUCUAACAGGCCAAUUGUUCCUGUACCAGGCCCAUUUCCUCUUCUCUUACAUCUUCCUAAUGGACAAACCAUGCCCGUUGCUAUUCCUGCAUCAAUUACAAGUUCUAAUGUGCAUGUUCCAGCUGCAGUCCCACUUGUUCGGCCAGUCACCAUGGUGCCUAGUGUUCCAGGAAUCCCAGGCCCUUCCUCUCCUCAACCAGUCCAGUCAGAAGCAAAAAUGGUAAGCAGAUUUUUUAUUGAACAUUUAUUGAGUCUCUCUCUUUUUUUUCUUUUUUUUUAAAUUAAGGCCACCAUUUUAUAAAGUUGUGGGCUAUAUUUCACUAUAGAAGAACCAGAAAUUUGGAAAAGAAAAGCUUCCAUUAGAGUAGUGACUGGCUUAUGAUACUUUAAGUAUAAAGGGUGAGCUGGAAAUAAAAUUCUAGUGUCUGUUGCUUGUGGUUUGGUCUAUGCGUUAAACUCCUGGUGGAGGUUCUAAAUAAAUACUACAGCUGAAGUUAAGCAGGCGCUCUGAUAGCAGUGCUGAGCACUUACACAAAGUUCUCUAACUAGUAUGCCAGUUAGAAAACAUACAUGCAAUUAAAAGGAAAACCUUAUUUUUCUUUUGUGCUUUCAACAUUAUGGUAUUUGUAUUCUUUAAAAAGUUAGGCCAAACCGGGCGGUGGUGGCACGCACCUUUAAUCCAGCACUUGGGAGGCAGAGGCAGGCGGAUUUCUGAGUUCUAGGCCAGCCUAUUCUACAGAGUAAGUUCCAGAUCAGCCAGGGCUAUACAGAGAAUUCUAUCUCGAAAAACAAAAACAAAAAACAAACAAAAAAAGGAGUUGGAAAGAUGGUUAACUGGUUAAGGCACUGGCUCUGAAUAACAUUAAAAGUCCCACAGUCUUUACUUAGUCUUAAAAUUUCAAUCUCUUUAAAAUAUCCAUCUCUUUUAAAAUCCAAAGUCUUUUUACAAUUAAAAGUCUCUUAACUGUGGGGUUCACAAAAAUAGUUUCUUCCUUCAAGAGUGAAAAUAUCAGGGCACAGUC